GGUGAGAUGGCAGAGCGGACUAAUGCGCCAGUCUUGAAAACUGGUGGCCAACGGCCUCGGGGGUUCGAAUCCCUCUCUCACCG
rnacentral:tRNA from 1 species